rnacentral:rRNA from 1 species
GGAAUAUUGGGCAAUGGGCGAAAGCCUGACCCAGCAACGCCGCGUGAGUGAAGAAGGCUUUCGGGUUGUAAAGCUCUGUUAUAGGGGACGAAGGAAGUGACGGUACCCUAUAAGGAAGCCCCGGCUAACUACGUGCCAGCAGCCGCGGUAAUACGUAGGGGGCGAGCGUUGUCCGGAAUGACUGGGCGUAAAGGGCGUGUAGGCGGCUUUAUAAGUCUGGAGUGAAAGUCCUGCUUUCAAGGUGGGAAUUGCUUUGGAGACUGUAGAGCUUGAGUGCGGAAGAGGUAAGUGGAAUUCCCAGUGUAGCGGUGAAAUGCGUAGAGAUUGGGAGGAACACCAGUGGCGAAGGCGACUUACUGGGCCGUAACUGACGCUGAGGCGCGAAAGCGUGGGGAGCGAACA